CGGAAAAGGACCCCGGCGGCCUCGCGGUGGGCAGAACCCAGCAAGGCGAGAGAAACCAGCAGUUUGCUGCGUACCACUUCGUCCGUCAGAUCUUCCAAACAGGCUCCCAGGAAACGCAGCUCCAGCGGGAUGCACAGAUCCAGCAGGCCGCACAAAAACUCCACUCUCUGAGGCGAGGGCAGCUCCGAAAACCACCGCCUUUCCAUCCUCCGUCCCGGAGAGCCGGGCCUUCCUCCGGAGCGGUUCCGACGUACGCGACCGAGGGAAAGAAUCCCUCGCUGAAGGCGGCGCGGAGGCGGACGGCCCGCGGCGGAGGGAUCCCGCGGUGAGGCGUCCCAGCCGGCGCGGAGCGGGGAGGGGGAGAGAGAGAAAAGAAGGAGCGACCGAGCGCCUCCACUCCCGGCCUGACCCCGCGGCGAGGCCCCGCCCACCACCCUCCCCAUUGGCCCGGCCGGCUACUCGCGGCUGGAGAUUGGCUGUUAGCGAGCUGCACCCGCCUCCCUCCCUCUGUCAAUCGCUACCGUUAGGCGCCCGCUUAGCUCCGCCCCCUUCCGCUGAUUGAAUAGGGGAGGGGCGGGAGCGGGCGGCUUUUGUGUGGGGCCGCGGGCGGGCGGGCAGGUUGGGGAUGGGGUGCUGUACCCC